GAUGAACGCUGGCGGCGUGCCUAAUACAUGCAAGUCGAGCGAUCAGAUGCGGAGCUUGCUCCUCUGACGUUAGCGGCGGACGGGGGAGUAACACGUGGAUAACCUACCUAUCACACUGGGAUAAUUUCGGGAAACCGGAGCUAAUACCGGAUAAUAUAUUGAACCGCAUGGUUCAAUAGUGAGAGAAGGUUUUUCUGUCACUUAUAGAUGGGUCCGCGCCGUAUUAGCUAGUUGGUAAGGUAACGGCUUACCAAGGCAACGAUGCGUAGCCGACCUGAGAGGGGGAUCGGCCACACUGGAACUGAGACAAGGUCCAGACUACUACGGGAGGCAGCAGUAGUGAAUAAUACGCCAUGAGCGGAGCCAGGACGGUGCAACGCCGCGGGAGUGAUGAUGGUCUUCGGAUCGUAAAAAUCUGUUAUUAGGGAAGAACAAAUGUGUAAGUAACUAUGCACGUGUUGACGGUACCUAAUCAGAAAGCCACGGCUAACUACGUG
rnacentral:rRNA from 1 species